rnacentral:rRNA from 1 species
GAGUAACACGUGAGCAACCUGCCCUUGGCUCUGGGAUAGCCUCCGGAAACGGGGAUUAAUACCGGACAUGACCUGCUUCUGCAUGGGAGCGGGUGGAAAGUUUUUCGGCCAGGGAGGGGCUCGCGGCCUAUCAGCUUGUUGGGGGGGUAACGGCCCACCAAGGCGACGACGGGUAGCCGGCCUGAGAGGGCGACCGGCCACACUGGGACUGAGACACGGCCCAG